rnacentral:tRNA from 5 species
UCCGGAUUAGCUCAGUGGAAGAGCGGCAGGUUUACACCCUGCGCGUGGGGAGUUCGAUUCUCUCAUCCGGAAC